CCUACGGGAGGCUGCAGUGGGGAAUCUUCCGCAAUGGGCGAAAGCCUGACGGAGCAACGCCGCGUGAUCGAAUGAAGGCCAGCGUGUUGUAAAGAUCUGUUGACAGGGACGAAUAAGCCAUGCGAAUAGUUGGGUGUAUGACGGUACCUGUUUAGAAAGCUCCGGCUAACUACGUGCCAGUAGCCGCGGUAAUACGUAGGGAGCAAGCGUUGUCCGGAAUUGAUGGGCGUAAAGGGCGGGUAGGUGGGUGCUUAAGUCAGGUGUGAAAACUCUGGGCUCAACCUGGGGACUGCACUUGAAACUGGGUAUCUUGAGGGCAGGAGAGGAAAGUGGAAUUCCCAGUGUAGCGGUGAAAUGCGUAGAUAUUAGGAGGAACACCAGUGGCGAAGGCGACUUUCUGGACUGUCACUGACGCUGAGGCGCGAAAGCGUGGGUAGCGAACGGGAUUAGAUACCCCGGUAGUC
rnacentral:rRNA from 1 species